AUUGAACGCUGGCGGCAGGCCUAACACAUGCAAGUCGAGCGAGCGGCGGACGGGUGAGUAAUGUCUGGGAAACUGCCUGAUGGAGGGGGAUAACUACUGGAAACGGUAGCUAAUACCGCAUACCAUCAGAUUUGCCCAGAUGGGAUUAGUUAGUAGGUGGGGUAACGGCUCACCUGGGCGACGAUCCCUAGCUGGUCUGAGAGGAUGACCAGCAAACAUGGAACUGAGAAACGGGCCAGACUCUGACGGGAGGCAGCGGUGGGGAAUAUUGGACAAUGGGCGAAAGCCUGACGCAGCAAUGCCGCGUGUGGGAAGAAGGCCUUCGGGUUGUAAAGCACUUUCAGCGGGGAGGCGUUACCCGAAGAAGAAGCACCGGCUAACUCCGUGCCAGCCGCCGCGGUAAUUC
rnacentral:rRNA from 1 species